GACCAUCUGCUCGCAAGAAGAAGAAACAAAAAGGAUAAAUGUCUGAAGAUCUCAGAGAAAUCUUGCUUGGUCUUCUGUUGUACUUCUCUCAUCUGUUAUUAUCCUUUUUGUCAUGUCAUUGCAGUGGGAAGCAAUCAACCUGAGCAGUAGAAAAGAGAGAAAUAAAUAAUAGCCUUCUGUUUCCCUUCUUUAUUCCUUCUUCUCUCAUGAAUGAAAAGUAACAAAAUGAAGCUUGUGGGUUAUCUGCCCAUACCUACUUUCCGUGGCAUCAGAGGGAGCUACCAAACUCCUUUUCAAUCGUCACCUCCCACCUUCCCAUGGAGGAUCCACAGCAAUCCAGACUGUCAUCAUGAGAUUACAAAACAACACUUCUUUAUCUCAGUUCUAAGCCACAUGCAUAGAACCAUCAGGGUGUACUUUCGAAAUGCACAUUCAGGCUAAGAACCCUUAUC
rnacentral:lncRNA from 1 species